GCUGGGCGUGGUGGUGCAUGCCUGUAGUCCCAGCUACUCAGGAAGCUGAGGUGGGAGGAUCACUUGAGCCUGGGAAGUUGAGGCUGCAGUGAGCUGUGAUAGCACCACUGCACUCCAGCCUGGGCGACAAAGCAAGACCCUGUCUCCA
ensembl:misc_RNA Metazoa_SRP Metazoan signal recognition particle RNA